UUAAAUUGAAGAGUUUGAUCAUGGCUCAGAUUGAACGCUGGCGGCAGGCCUAACACAUGCAAGUCGAACGGUAACAGGAAGCAGCUUGCUGCUUUGCUGACGAGUGGCGGACGGGUGAGUAAUGUCUGGGAAACUGCCUGAUGGAGGGGGAUAACUACUGGAAACGGUGGCUAAUACCGCAUAACGUCGCAAGACCAAAGAGGGGGACCUUCGGGCCUCUUGCCAUCAGAUGUGCC
rnacentral:rRNA from 1 species